AAGCUGUGAAAUUAACAGAACAAGAAAAUACACCGUCAGAUAAGGAAUUCUCUGAAGGUGAAACUGAGGAGGGAGAAGAGGCUAAUGAGCUUGCAAAAAAAGUGGAUUAGUAAGAAUACAAGUGUAUAGUAUAAGAUUGUCAUUAUCAAAUGACAAACUGAAAGUCUAAGAUGAAAAUUAAGAUAACAUGUGCUACAUGUAAACAGAUUCCAAUCAGUGAUUUAUAAUAGAGUCAUUUUAAAGAUCACUGGUCCUGUGACAUUUUAUAUUUCUUUAUACCAUUGUUUUAUUUUAUAUUUAUGUAUGUUUUAUAUUACAUUCCUCUAACAUUUCAUAUACAUGUGUAAGUUCUGUAUGUAUCUGUCUCAGGAGUAACAUGUCUCUGUACAUAAGACAGAGCUUUGACUGAUGUAAGAGUUGUGGAUGAAUCUGUUCUCUCACACAAGCACAGAUUAAUCUUUAUUAGUUAUAAUUUAUGUAGCAUAUUAUGUGCUUUCAGUCAUAUUGUCUCAUGUGUUUUGUUUAGUGAUUGUAAUCUUCUCUUGUAUUGUAUUGGAAUGUGUUGGCCUAUUAUAACUAUACAAAUAAAAAACUUGAGCAUUUUA